rnacentral:rRNA from 1 species
UACGUAGGGUGCAAGCGUUAAUCGGAAUUACUGGGCGUAAAGCGUGCGCAGGCGGUUUUGUAAGUCUGUCGUGAAAUCCCCGGGCUCAACCUGGGAAUUGCGAUGGAGACUGCAAGGCUAGAAUCUGGCAGAGGGGGUAGAAUUCCACGUGUAGCAGUGAAAUGCGUAGAGAUGUGGAGGAACACCGAUGGCGAAGGCAGCCCCUGGGUCAAGAUUGACGCUCAUGCACGAA